AUGCAAGUCGAGCGGGCAUCGCAAGAUGUCAGCGGCAGACGGGAGAGUAACACGUGGGAACGUGCCCUUCAGUUCGGAACAACCCAGGGAAACUUGGGCUGAUACCGGAUACGUCCGUAAGGAGAAAGAUUUAUCGCUGAAGGAUCGGCCCGCGUCUGAUUAGCUAGUUGGUGGGGUAAUGGCCCACCAAGGCGACGAUCAGUAGCUGGUCUGAGAGGAUGAUCAGCCUCACUGGGACUGAGACACGGCCCAGACUCCUACGGGAGGCAGCAGUGGGGAAUAUUGGACAAUGGGCGCAAGCCUGAUCCAGCCAUGCCGCGUGGGUGAUGAAGGCCCUAGGGUUGUAAAGCCCUUUCGGCGGGGAAGAUAAUGACGGUACCCGCAGAAGAAGCCCCGGCUAACUUCGUGCCAGCAGCCGCGGUAAUACGAAGGGGGCUAGCGUUGCUCGGAAUCACUGGGCGUAUAGCGCACGUAGGCGGCUUCUUAAGUCAGAGGUGAAAUCC
rnacentral:rRNA from 1 species